ACAAGAGGAGGGGUCUGCGUGACCAAA
rnacentral:piRNA from 1 species